rnacentral:rRNA from 1 species
GCCAGACUCCUACGGGAGGCAGCAGUCGGGAAUAUUGCGCAAUGGAGGAAACUCUGACGCAGUGACGCCGCGUAUAGGAAGAAGGUUUUCGGAUUGUAAACUAUUGUCGUUAGGGAAGAUAAAAGACUGUACCUAAGGAGGAAGCCCCGGCUAACUAUGUGCCAGCAGCCGCGGUAAUACAUAGGGGGCAAGCGUUAUCCGGAUUCACUGGGUGUAAAGGGAGCGUAGACGGCGACGCAAGUCUGGAGUGAAAGCCCGGGGCCCAACCCCGGGACUGCUCUGGAAACUGCGUCGCUGGAGUACGGGAGGGGCAGGCGGAAUUCCUGGUGUAGCGGUGAAAUGCGUAGAUAUCAGGAGGAACACCGGCGGCGAAGGCGGCCUGCUGGACCGUGACUGACGUUGAGGCUCGAGAGCGUGGGGAGCAAACAGGAUUAGAUACCCCCGUA